rnacentral:rRNA from 1 species
GUGGGGAAUCUUGCGCAAUGGGCGAAAGCCUGACGCAGCCAUGCCGCGUGAAUGAUGAAGGUCUUAGGAUUGUAAAAUUCUUUCACCGGGGACGAUAAUGACGGUACCCGGAGAAGAAGCUCCGGCUAACUUCGUGCCAGCAGCCGCGGUAAUACGAAGGGGGCUAGCGUUGCUCGGAAUUACUGGGCGUAAAGGGCGCGUAGGCGGACAGCUUAGUCAGAGGUGAAAGACCAGGGCUCAACCUUGGAAUUGCCUUUGAUACUGGCUGUCUUGAGUUUGGGAGAGGUGAGUGGAACUCCGAGUGUAGAGGUGAAAUUCGUAGAUAUUCGGAAGAACACCAGUGGCGAAGGCGACUCACUGGCCCAAUACUGACGCUGAGGCGCGAAAGCGUGGGGAGCAAACAGGAUUAGAAACCCUGGUAGUCC